rnacentral:tRNA from 1 species
GCGGGUGCUGGUGUGGUCAUGACCGGCCGCUACCACCAAGGCAACCUGCGGCACGCCCAGCUCUUCUGAUUGCGGCGCUGCUACGGAUCAGAAGGUUAGGGGUUCGAGUCCCUUCGGGCGCA